rnacentral:rRNA from 1 species
CACCGGCGGCCCGAGUGGUAGCCGUUAUUAUUGGGUUUAAAGGGUCCGUAGCCGGCCUAUUAAGUCUCUUGGGAAAUCUGGCGACUCAAUCGUCAGUCGUCCAAGAGAUACUGGUAGGCUUGGGACCGGGAGAGGUGGGAGGUACUCCAGGGGUAGGGGUGAAAUCUCGUAAUCCUUGGGGGACCACCGAUGGCGAAGGCAUCCCACCAGAACGGGUCCGACGGUGAGGGACGAAAGCUGGGGGCACGAACCGGAUUAGAUACCCGGGUAGUCCCAGCCGUAAACGAUGCUCGCUAGGUGUCAGGUGCGGUGCGACCGCAUCUGGUGCCGCAGUGAAAACUUGAAGCGAGUCACCUGGGAAGUACGGUCGCAAGGCUG